rnacentral:rRNA from 1 species
AUUAUACCGUGAAACUGCGAAUGGCUCAUUAAAUCAGUUAUCGUUUAUUUGAUAGUACCUUACUACUUGGAUAACCGUGGUAAUUCUAGAGCUAAUACAUGCUAAAAACCCCGACUUCGGGAGGGGUGUAUUUAUUAGAUAAAAAACCAAUGCCCUUCGGGGCUCUUUGGUGAUUCAUGAUAACUUAACGGAUCGCAUGGCCUUGCGCCGGCGACGGUUCAUUCAAAUUUCUGCCCUAUCAACUUUCGAUGGUAAGGUAUUGGCUUACCAUGGUUUCAACGGGUAACGGGGAAUUAGGGUUCGAUUCCGGAGAGGGAGCCUGAGAAACGGCUACCACAUCCAAGGAAGGCAGCAGGCGCGCAAAUUACCCAAUCCCGACUCGGGGAGGUAGUGACAAUAAAUACUGAUACAGGGCUCUUUUGGGUCUUGUAAUCGGAAUGAGUACAAUUUAAACCCCUUAACGAGGAACAAUUGGAGGGCAAGUCUGGUGCCAGCAGCCGCGGUAAUUCCAGCUCCAAUAGCGUAUAUUAAAGUUGUUGCAGUUAAAAAGCUCGUAGUUGAACCUUGGGCCUGGCUGGCCGGUCCGCCUCACCGCGUGUACUGGUCCGGCCGGGCCUUUCCUUCUGGAGAGCCGCAUGCCCUUCACUGGGUGUGUUGGGGAACCAGGACUUUUACUUUGAAAAAAUUAGAGUGUUCAAAGCAGGCCUUUGCUCGAAUACGUUAGCAUGGAAUAAUAGAAUAGGACGUGCGGUCCUAUUUUGUUGGUUUCUAGGACCGCCGUAAUGAUUAAUAGGGAUAGUCGGGGGCAUCAGUAUUCAAUUGUCAGAGGUGAAAUUCUUGGAUUUAUUGAAGACUAACUACUGCGAAAGCAUUUGCCAAGGAUGUUUUCAUUAAUCAGUGAACGAAAGUUAGGGGAUCGAAGACGAUCAGAUACCGUCGUAGUCUUAACCGUAAACUAUGCCGACUAGGGAUCGGGCGAUGUUUCUAUCUUGACUCGCUCGGCACCUUACGAGAAAUCAAA